rnacentral:tRNA from 1 species
AGUUAAUGAACUUGUUAUAAGUAUAUAUUUUGAAAAUAUAAUAAAGGGUUUUAACUCCCUAUUAACUU